CAGCAGCCACGGGAAUACGGAGGAUCCAAGCGUUAUCCGGAAUCAUUGGGUUUAAAGGGUCCGUAGGCGGUCUUGUAAGUCAGUGGUGAAAGCCCAUCGCUCAACGGUGGAACGGCCAUUGAUACUGCAGGACUUGAAUUAUUGGGAAGUAACUAGAAUAUGUAGUGUAGCGGUGAAAUGCUUAGAGAUUACAUGGAAUACCAAUUGCGAAGGCAGGUUACUACCAAUUGAUUGACGCUGAUGGACGAAAGCGUGGGUAGCGAACAGGAUUAGAUACCCGCGUAGUCCCUGUCUCUUAUAA
rnacentral:rRNA from 1 species